rnacentral:rRNA from 1 species
UCUUUCUUUGCUGGCGACCGGCGCACGGGUGAGUAACACGUACCCAACCUCCCCUUUACUCGGGGAUAGCCUUUCGAAAGAAAGAUUAAUACCCGAUAGUAUAAUGAUUCCGCAUGGUUUCAUUAUUAAAGGAUUCCGGUAAAGGAUGGGGAUGCGUUCCAUUAGGUUGUUGGUGAGGUAACGGCUCACCAAGCCUUCGAUGGAUAGGGGUUCUGAGAGGAAGGUCCCCCACAUUGGAACUGAGACACGGUCCAA